AGAUGAGCCAGGGAGCAGGCAGGGCCACGUGGUGUCUGGCUUGUGCCAUAGAAGGCAGCUUGAACGUGACUCUGGUUGCAUUGGGAAGCUGUUGGAAAACGUUAAGCAGCAGAGUUGAAAAUCACCUGAUUUACAUUUUUUAAAAGCUCAUUCUAUUGUCUCUAUAGAAUGUGUAUCAGUAAAGGGAAGGGCAAGCAUGGAAGCAAGGAGGCAGGAGGCUGCUGCAACAGUCCAGGUGCAAGAUCAUGGUGGUUCAGACUAGAGUGGUAGUAACUGCUAGCCUCCAUGUAUGUGGAGCACUACAAACAUUGCUGAGCCCUUGCUAUAUGAUGCACUGAUCCCAGCACUGACUGGGAGGAAGGCCUGGUUGGAAGCUUGGUUUUGACGUCAAGAAGUUUCUCCAUGGUUAAGGAAGCAGACAAGUCAAUACUUCCCUCUUGGAUGGUUGGCUUCCCUGGCUUCUU
rnacentral:lncRNA from 10 species